GACGAACGCUGGCGGCGUGCCUAAUACAUGCAAGUUGAGCGCUGAAGGUUGGUACUUGUACCGACUGGAUGAGCAGCGAACGGGUGAGUAACGCGUGGGGAAUCUGCCUUUGAGCGGGGGACAACAUUUGGAAACGAAUGCUAAUACCGCAUAAAAACUUUAAACACAGGUUUUAAGUUUGAAAGAUGCAAUUGCAUCACUCAAAGAUGAUCCCGCGUUGUAUUAGCUAGGUGGUGAGGUAAAGGCUCACCAAGGCGAGGAUACAUAGCCGACCUGAGAGGGUGAUCGGCCACAUUGGGAGUGAGACACGGCCCAAACGCCUUCGGGAGGGAGCAGUAGGGAAUCUGGGGCCAGGGACGAAAGUCUGACCGAGAAAGGCCGCGGGAGUAAAGAAGGGUGUCGGAUCGGAAAACUCUGUUGGUAGAGAAGAACGUUGGUGAGAGUGGAAAGCUCAGCAAGUGACGGUAACUACCCAGAAAGGGACGGCUAACUACGUG
rnacentral:rRNA from 1 species